rnacentral:rRNA from 1 species
UGGCGAACGGGUGAGUAACACGUGGGUGAUCUGCCCUGCACUCUGGGAUAAGCCUGGGAAACUGGGUCUAAUACCGGAUAGGACCAUGCUUUAGUGUGUGUGGUGGAAAGUUUUUUCGGUGUAGGAUGAGCCCGCGGCCUAUCAGCUUGUUGGUGGGGUAAUGGCCUACCGAGGCGGCGACGGGUAGCCGGACUGAGAGGUUGGUCGGCCACAUUGGGACUGAGAUACGGCCCAG